GGGGAAGAAAACAGUGUGGGGGGACGACAUACACACAGCACCCCUGCCCUACACAUAUCACCCCACACAAACACACACACAUCACCCCACACAAACACACACACCACCCCACACACACCACCCCACAUCACCCCACACACAUCACCCCACCCACACACACACCCCACCCCCCACACACACACCACCCCACAUCACCCCACACACACACAUCACCCCACUCACACACACAUCACCCCACACACACACAUCACCCUACACACAAACACAUCACCCCACACACAAACACAUACACUGUACCCCUCAAUGCAGUGUGUGUACACUCAGCAGUCUGUCUGUGUGUGUACACUCAGCAGUCUGUCUGUGUGUGUACACUCAGCAGUCUGUCUGUGUGUGUACACUCAGCAGUCUGUGUGUGUGUGUACACUCAGCAGUCUGUGUGUGUGUGUGUGUACUCAGCAGUGUGUGUGUGUGUACUCAGCAGUCUGUGUGUGUGUACUCAGCAGUGUGUGUGUACUCAGCAGUCUGUGUGUGUAUGUAUUUAGCAGUAUGUGUACUCAGCAGUGUGUGUGUGUGUGUGUGUAUUUAGGAGUCUGUGUGUGUGUGUACUCAGCAGUCUGUGUGUAUGUAUUUAGGAGUCUUUGUGUGUGUACUCAGCAGUCUGUGUGUGUGUAUUUAGCAGUCUAUGUGUGUGUGUGUGUGUAUGUACUCGGCAGUCUGUGUGUGUGUAUUUAGCAGUCUAUGUGUGUGUGUGUGUGUAUGUACUCGGCAGUCUGUGUGUGUGUAUUUAGCAGUCUGUGUGUGUAUUCAGCAGACUGUGUACUCGGCAGUCUGUGUGUGUAUUCAGCAGUCUGCUAAAUACAGACAGACUGCUAAGUACACAGACAGACUGCUAAAUACACAUACAGACAGACUGCCGAGCACACACACAAACUGCUUAAUACGCACACAGAGAUGUUAAUUAGUCCCUCAACUUUUAAUCUGUCUCUGCAUCUCAGAAAGACAAAUUGGAUGUCAUCUACUAAGCCACACAUUACAAGAACUUUCCUGCUCUUCACUGUACUUAAAGCAGCACUGUCAUGACGUUUUUCUUUUUCCUUUCCUAAUGCCAAUUGUAUGUUAAUGAUUAUAUUCUUCUACUUCUUUUAAUUUAUAUUUAUGGUCUUCCUUGCACUGGAUCACAAUAUCUGGGCUCCUCCAUUUUGUUCCCCCGGUCCAUGAAGCCUGCAAUUUGUUGGUGGAUUGUGGAUAAAUCAGCAACCGAAAUGGAACUAUACUUAAAGGGCUACUCUUACUUUUUAACAUCCAACCAUUCCUCCCCACACUGUUGUAACACUUUAAAAUAAAAAACAAACCCAUAGAGAUGCAUUUGAUUGUCUCUUAAAAGUGCCUGCACGCACUCUGAUCCAGGAGGGAGUAUGGGGUAUACAGAGGGAGGAGAAACAAUAAAAAUUGUGAGGAGGGCUGAAUGAAAGAAGGGAGGGAGGAACUCUUGCAGGUACUGCCUGUAUGGGAGAAGAUCACCAUGUCUGUCGCCUGAGCUCUGAUGUAUUUUUUGCACAGAAUUGAAUUUUUUUGCACAGAAUUGGCAAUGCUUCAGUAAUAUUAGGCAAUCACGUUAGGCAGUGUCGGGGGUGUAACAAGUCCAUGGCACAAAAGUGCAAAUAUCGUGCUACACAUACAGAUUUCCACCACAAUGGUCAUGGUGCUUUGAGUAAGUGGUCGUAGUGGCUGAAAUAUUCCUUUAAGCUCUGCAAAAAUUGCCAAAUAUUAUGCUCUCCAUAAGAAAAUGUAACCACGCCCCUCAUGCCCAAAAAACUUCCUUAUCAAAGGCAUGCAUACAGCUCAGCCGCUGCCAGUACUGAAUGAUCUGAACUACAAAGUAACCUGCAUUAGAAGGAAAGGGCACUCAGCGAGACAUAGAAUAAGAGUAUCACUACCUGUUUAUAGUGUAUGUACUUUUCCUUAUACAUAACUAAAACAGUAAAUAAAAACAAAACAAAAAACACUAAGGAAAAUAGGUUAAAAAAUGAAUAAAAAAAAACUAGAGUGCUACUUUAAAGGGUAAGGGCACAACAAACUGCACAGUAGAAGAGUCCAUGACAUAUGCAUGUAGUAUACCGCACCUGACUUGCAGAUGCCGUUGCCUUCUUUUAUUCAGGAAUUGUAUAUCCAGCAUGUGGCUUAAUAGCUUGUAUAGUAUUAUUUUACAUAUUGUGCUACAAGCAACAAUUGCAGUUGAUUUUUCUUGUAUACCUUUCAUUGUUACACUGAUAGUAUAUUGUCAAAUGUAUAUGAGUCCUUCUUUGACAGUUAUUCUAAACCUGUAAGAAGAAUUAUAAAACCAUGGCUAUUCUUUAUUCCAUAUGUAUCCUGUAACAAAUCUUACGCCUUACUUUACAAAAAAACUACAUUCUGUUCUGUUUUUUUGGGAAGGAGUUUAAGUGUGAAGCCACAACAGCUGUAUAAGCCAUGUAAAUAAACAGAGAUGGAAAUAAAAAAUGGUAUGUUAGACGAGGAAAGUAAAUGUUUAAAAAAAUAAUUUCUAUAAUGUGCAGUAAUUAUAUGGGUUGGAAAGUAGAGAUUUAGCAUAGAAACAUAGAAUGUGAAGGCAGAUAAGAACCGGUCGCCCCAUCUAGUCUGCAUGAAUAAAUAAAACACAGUAAGAGAAAUUUAAAGAAAUAUUAAAAAGAGAAACAGGCAAUAUGUAAGUAAAUGUUCUCAGUAAUGAGAUUUAGAUGAUGAUUUGUAACCAGCAAGGAGAGAAUGACAGGUUGUAUUGAUUUUAUGCACACAAAAAAAUUCAUCACUUGCAGUGUUUUUAUGUUAGGUAACAAAGCUAGAUUUCAUUUGGUAGUAAAGCUAGAUUUCAAUAAGCCAUUGCUGAUUACCAUGUUCAACCAAACUUUCUCUGUGAACUAGCCUGUAUUUGUUUUCAAACGGAAAAUAUAUAAUAGAAAUUACAUUCCAUAAAAUGUCACCACUUCUCUUUCUACUAUACAAAAACCAUUCUGGCCGUUUGCCUAUCAGUCUGUUUCUGCUGCUCACACACCUGUCAGCCCACCACACUUAAAAAGAGCACAGUUAGCCAGUCUUGAAAUGUAAUGGCGCUACCCCCAGCUUGGGAAUCCAGCCCAACCUGGUUUUGUUGUGGCGGCCUCUCUGCCUGCUUUGAAAUUAUAAGAGAUAAUGGUCUCAUGCCAAAUGUAAUGCUUCUCAUAGAAAAGCAUCCGGGGGGCAAAUGCAUGGCAGUCACCAAACAGCUGCUUUUCAUACUGAUUGACCAAUGUUAACAAUGACAAAUUUUUAAGUCUGAGAAACGACAGACUGCAGGGACAGUCUGUGUUCACCAAAAGCACUAUAUUAGGAUGUGGUGGUUUUGGUGCUUAGGCCUUGGCAUUUACCGGUAAUCUAGAUUUUACAGAGAGUGGUUCUAAUGCAGACUGUUACUGUAGAUUACAGCUGUGCUGACUUACGUGUCUGCAAAUUACAUGGGGGUAUAUGCAAAAUGGGCUACGUAAUAAGAGAAUAUUGAAUUAGCUUUUGAGGGUAGUUAAGCUAUUCACAUUGCAGAAAGCAUAAGUAUCUCUUAUUUGCGAUUUUGCAAAAUAAGAAUAUUGAUUACUAAUAUUAUAUAAGGAUUUUAUCUCAUUAGAAACAUGCUAUACACUUUCAACCUGAGAUUUAAUUGAGUAUUGAUUCUGGGUGAAGAUGCACAGCUUGUCUGACACUCUUCUCUGAAACUAGAGUGCAUAUGUCAUGACCACACACAUGCACAGCCGUAUGCUCUCAUGUAUAAUCCAUGUGACCUCCAGCUACAGACCAACAUACUGACUGUAUAACUCACCCAUUUCGAGACACCAUGACAGUGGAUAGCCAGUGGAAACAAAAUGCUCCCUUGCUAAAGAAUUGACCUUUACAUUUCUUGACUGCUCAAACUAUCAUCAAUAUAAACAAAUAUUAGAAAAUAAUAGUAUCUACAUGUAUUCAAUUAAAAAAAUAAAUAUAAAAAAAUAUGGAUUGCGUAACAAUGAGUAUAGUUGAAUGGAUAUUUUAAACAAACAUUCUACACAGUUUUCAAGCAGGGCUUUAUGACUUUUAGCCAAAUGAGUUCUAUCUGAAUUUUAAACGCAUCAAAGCAAUUUAGUACCACAUGUGGAGGUUUGAUUUAUAUUGUUUGAUUAACUCAUUAACUUAGUAACUAAAUACUCAUUAGCUUGAUUAACCAACUCAUUAACUCGUCCUUAUGUAUAUUCAUGUUGUGUCUCCAGUCACCAAGUUUCAUUGUGUCUGGAAAACUCGUAGUGUUGGCCACCUAUACUCAUGCGAUGCACUUGGUUGCCAUACACCAGCAGGUAUUGUUAUGCUUUGAUAAGAUAUUAAUCUAGCUCUGUAUAUAGGAUGCUUAUAUAGUGAUGGUGUUAAGUAUAUUUCUUAUCCAGCUGAGGAAUUCACUCUAAUUGAGCUGUAGGUAUUUUGCAUGCCAAUUAAUGAAACUAUGAGUACUCAAUUCAUGGUUUCACUAAUAAAUCUCAUCAAUAAAAUGCAACUAGACACCUUGGAGAAGCAUUAAAUGAUGGUUUAACGGUCAUUUGGCAAGAAGGACAUUGCCUGAGUGGUUUAAGUUACCAUUGUGUUUGGAUGGAAAGAAUAAUAAACUCAUUAUAAGGAAAGUAUUGAGCAAAUGUGUUUAGAAAUUCAGAAAAUAUUGAUCACACAUAAAAUGCUCUUAGACACCAGUUAUCACUAGAAACAUAAUAGGUCGUUUGUUUUUGCUUCCUGUGAUCAGUGUGUUUCUUGUAGACCCUGUUUUUUUUUUUGUGUUUGGCAUAAAUUCCUAGCUAAGCAGUGAGACAGCUGGACCAAAUUCUGGCAUUACUUACAUGUGACUUUUUUUUUUAUCUUUACGUUAAGUCCACUGAACCUUUAUCUAUUUAAAGACUACCUACUGUAUGUUAUGUAUAGUGCCCUCCCUAAUAUUGUCACUCUUCUUGGUAAAUAUGAGGAAGAAAAGCUCUGAAGAAUUGUCUUUAUUGUUUAAUCAUUUGAACUUUUGUUCAAAAAGUACUCAAACAUAUUCUGCUCUCAUGGAUAUCAAGCUAUUGCAAACACCAUACAGGUUUAAAAAUAUAUAUUUCUUAAAUAUAUGUGUGGCACAAUUAUUGGCAUUCUUUUAGUCAAUACGUUGUGCUACCUCCCUUUGCCAAGAUAACAGCUCUGAAUCUUCUCCUACAAUGCUUGAUGAGGUUGAAGGGAUCUAAGAUCAUUACUCCAUACAUAAUCUCUCCAGAUGUCAAGGCUGGUGGACUCUCAUCUUCAGUUCACCACAGAGGUUUUUAUGGGGUUCAAGUUAGGUGACUGGGAUAGCCAUACAGAUAUCUUGAUUUUGUGUUCAGUAAACCAUUUUUGUGUUGAUUUUAUGUUUUGGAUCACUGUCCUCCUGGAAAGCUCAACGACUCCCCAUCUUAAGCUUUCUGGCAGAGGAAGUUAGGUGUUCAUUUAAUAUCGGUUGAUUUUUGAUAGAGUCCAUGAUGCCAUGUAAUUAAGAAAAUAUCCAGUCCUUUGGAAGAAAAACAGCCCCAAAACAUUAAAAAGCCACCACCAUAUUUAAAUCCUCUGGUGUUCAUUGCCAAAAAGCUCUGUUUCAUCUGACCUUAGAACCCAAUUCCAUUUGGAGUCUGUUUUUGGAUGAGAGUAGAUACUGGUGGGAAUGGGCAUUUUUGAAUGCGUUUGUUAUUUUGUUACAGCUACUUCCUAUUUUGUAAAGCUCAACAACCUUUUGCCACACAUUACAGCAAUACUCCUUGGUAUUAUCCAUUGUGAUGAAUUACUAAUGGAAUUGGACUAUGUGUUACCUCAAAUUUACACCCAUGUGAAACAGGAAGUCAUUGUUGAACAAUUUCUUGUUCCUUGUCACCCAGGUAUACUACAAACAUAUAAAAUAUCAAAGGGAAUAUACUUCCAAUAUAUUUUUCUCAUAUAAAUAAUGUGUUUUACCCUGUCCUAAUGUGUUUACACCCCACCUCCUAUAGAAUGUAAGCUCGAUUGAGCAGGGUCCUCUUCAACCUAUUGUUCCCGUAAGUUUUUUGUAAUUGUUCUAUUUAUAGUUAAAUCCCCCUCUCGUAAUAUUGUAAAGCGCUACAGAAUCUGUUGGCGCUAUAUAAAUGGCAAUAAUAAUAAUAAUAAUAGGGGUGCUAAUUGUGCCACGUAUAUAUUUAACACAUUUUUUUUUUAUAACAAAGUGUUGUGUUUGCAAUUGUUUGAUAUGCAUAAGAGUAGAGUAUUUUUGUGCAUUUAUUUUUAACAAAAGGUCAAAAGGUUAAGCAAUAAAAACACAAUUUCAUAAUUUUAAGGCAAGAUGGCACCUAGGACCUCAUGCACCAUAGUAACAUCAAUGAUAUUUGUUAUAAUGGUGCCCAGAGUGUUCCUUUAAUAAAUGUUUUUAGUGCAUUUAUGCUUGCUCCGUGGGGGCAGCCAAAGACCUAUUUGAUGAGAUGCACAAUCUAUCUGCUAAUACUGUGUACAAAUCACUUCAGGGUACAUUUCUGAGAUGGAAACAAACUUUCUCUUAGAGAUGGCUGGCCACAUAAGUAAUGAUAAACUGAGAUGAACUGGAAACAAGUAUUUACUUGUGUGUAUGCAUUACAAAAAAAAACUAUAAUAAAAACAAUGACAGUUUUCCUUUAGAGAAUGAAAUACAGAAAGAUAUUUAUGAAAGGAAAACCCAAAACAGUCUGUUGCAAAUGUAGAGUAAUAGACAUGAAAACAGCUGAAAUAUAUGCUUGCAAAUCCAUUAGGGACCACAUGAAACUGAAAGGACAAUACCCAUAAUCCUCUAGUUCAUUAACAGAGGAACUACAUGAGGAGAAUUUACCAAAGUGGUCUGUUCUAAACUGGACUAACAUACUAAAAGUGGGACAAUCCCCAUAGAAGCCAAUGGAACGAGUAGUUGCAUUUGACUGGCGGUUCCUCCCUUUUUACAACAGUGCACGAUAAAUCUCUCCCAUUGCUUUAAUUCAUAUAAGAGACUGACUAUCUGCCAAACAACUCAAGUGCUGCUGGAAUAAUACUGCCAUCUUUAGACACAUAGUGCCAUUUUGGUUAAGGAUGAUGCAAUGUAGUCUUGAAAAACCCGGAAAUCUGCAAAUUGGUGGCCACUGUCCUAAAUCAUCAGACAGAGCAAUUUAGAAACAAUUAGCCAUUGAUUAUUUUUUUCUUCGGCUCAGAUAACACAUUUUGAUGUCUAACCAAUAACACAGCAUUGCUCUUAGUGCACUGCACAAAUGUAGCUCUAUUAUGCCACUAGCUAAAACCACAUGAUAAAUGUCAUAUUCAGAUAAAAAAAUAUAAUAAUAAAAUAUAUAUAUAUAUAUAUGUAUAUAUAUAUAUAUAAUUUUUUUUUACAACCAUUAAAUCACAUGUUCAGUUUAUUGGGUCAACAACGUAAGCCAUCCAUCAACAUGAAGGGUUUAUUCAAACACGUGUAUUUACUUUCUUUUCUUUUCUGUAGAAGGUAGGGAUCAUUGAAGUAUAUGUUGAUUAAUGCAUGUUUCUGUAUGUUUCCUGUUUUAACCACAUUUGUAUUAUUUUGCACAAAUUAAAUAAUAAUCAGUGGUCUUCAACUGUCUUUACUCCACAGAAAUGUGACAUUAUCUACCUGUAAACAAUAAGAGAAUGACAGAGAUAAAGAACUUAUGUAGGGUUGUUUUAUUCACAGUUUUCUAUUGAGAUAGGCAGGAGGUAUGUACCUACAGCUCUUUACUUUACUGUUGAAUAAUAGAUGGCCAAACUGAUAUAUUUUACCUGUAGAUUAUAAGCUUGUUUGAGCAUGGUCCUCAUCAACCUAUUGAUCCUGUAACAUUUUGAAAUUGUCUCAUUUAUUGUUACAUUUUCCCCUUUAUAAUAUUGUAAAGCACUGCGGAAUAAGUUGGCACUAGAUAAUACCAAAACUAAUAAUAAUUAUUACAGAUAUCCAUUUCUGGCGUUUACUGAAUGUUCCCCAUUGUUAUACAUGUAUUUAUUAAUAACGAUGGAGUUUUUCUUUAACACUAUUUACUGCUUUUGUUACAUUGUAACUAAAGAUCAAACCGUAAUCUCACACUUGAUGUGUCUCUGCCACUGGUUUGUGUAACUGCUUGUGGAAUAAUAAAAAUCUAAAUAAUGGAAAAAUUAGUGAGAAAUUGCAAUUGAAUGUUGUUUGAGUCACGUUGCUAGCACAGGCCCAGCACAAUAUAAUGAUAGAACUUACAUCCUUGCAACAUUUAUGUUAUUUUUUUUUUGUGGUUGAUCAGUCACUUUUUACAAUAACAAUGCUGUGGGUUAUGUAUAAAAGGCAAUUCUGGGGCAAAAUUCUAAAAGUGGAUCAAUCAACAUCGAACCUAUGUCUGGAAGUGCCUAAUUUGGCCUCCCCCCUGGCUAUUUGUUCCAGUUGUAUAAUAUCAGUUGUUUUGUACAGCGUGAAGUCAUAAAUCAGUUAUACAAGCAGGUCAGUGCAGUAAGUGCAGCGUUUAUCAAACAGGGGUCAUUUAGAGGAGACUAACAGAUUGAUUGGGGACCACUGAUAUGCUGAAAAUCACAUACAUUCAGACUGUAUUAUUGGCUUGUUUGAUAUUGUUUGUUUCUUUUUUUCUAUUAAUUUCUAUUUUGGUUUUUAUUUUUACUUUCACUGUUUUAAAUUGUAUGUUUAUGCUGACAUUUUGAUUUUCCACUAACUAAGAACACUUGUAAAACUCAUGUUUGAGAGAUAAACUAUGUGAUUUAAUAAAUUUUACUUUAACACACAAACAGAGGAUGAGUUGAUAUUUUGCUAUGUGGGCUUUCGGAUAAUCACUUAAUCUCUUCUCCAUACAGUUUUUGUUUUAGUGCUACUGAAUUCCAGAGAUUAUCAGAAGACAAGGUCAAAUAGCAGGAUAUAUUGAGAAAAAAAAAUAGUCUGCUGAAAAAAAACCCAUAUACUUUUCAGUCACAUAAACAUGCAUAUUUGAAUCAAUCAAGCAAAAACAAAACCACACGUUUGUCACUAUGGUACCAUAUUCCUAACACUAUUCAUUCACAUUGCAUCAUUUUGCCUAAUGUUUGCACAAAAUGAGCAAAAUCAGUGUUGUAUCAAAGGAAAUGAUUCACCAAAGGUGGGCUGUUGAU
rnacentral:lncRNA from 1 species